rnacentral:rRNA from 1 species
UUGACCUCAAAUCAGGUAGGACUACCCGCUGAACUUAAGCAUAUCAAUAAGCGGAGGAAAAGAAACUAACAAGGAUUCCCUUAGUAACUGCGAGUGAAGAGGGAAGAGCUCAAAUUUGAAAUCUGGCAGUGUU